CAGAGGCGGAGCCACAGAGAGCGGGUCCCUGUAGACCGCCUCCGCCCGGGGCGAGCCUGGACCCUGGCCUGAGGCAAGCUGUGGAGGAGUAUUUUUAAUUUUUUUUUAAUGUGUAUGAGUGUUUUUGCCUGCAUGCACCAAAUGCGUGUCCAGGUGCCUCUCACGGGUUUUUUUUUUGCAGAACUUGUUGGGUAAGUUUAUGUUGUAGAGACCAAAAUAGUAUUUUAUUCCAGGACCGUGGUGCGAAUGCGGCUGAGGGGGAUAACGCUCAUCUUUUAAAAGAUUUAUGAAGUUCAGUUCGUAAAUUUCAGUCAGGGCUCUGAAGUUCUAAUUAUUUGAAAUUUCAUCUGAGUUUUAAACAUUUUUUAAAAAAAGUUUUUGAGGCAGCUUAUAGAUUUGCCCAUAUAUAACUUCGGGAUUCUAAUUGGAUUUGUGCUUUUAAAUUUUUAAGCGCGCCUCUAGUGAUUUUUAAACUUAACUUUGUGAAUAUUUAAGUGUUUGAAUGUAUUUAAAGACUUUUCUCUGACUACUCUUGUGCGUUUCUACUGCAAGCUGGUGAGCGAAGGGUGCGGGCCGCCGUGCUCAGUUCGGCUCUCUGGCCACGCUUCGGUCAGUGCCCCGCGCAGCCUUGGAGCAGCCGCCAGGGGGCGCGGUCCUCAUUCCCGCUGGUCGCCGGUGCCGAGUCUUGCUAUUAUUGGGACCUAGGGCUCCAGGCCCAGCGAAGUGGCAGCUGCUGUGCCUCAGAUUGCUAAAGCCAGCUGGUGAGGCUCCUGGAUGGUGCUGGAAUUCGCGAACCAACCGUCCCUUCUGCUUUGCGAACGGAGCCCAGGACGACCCUGAGGAUUUAAGUGUUCUCUCGCCGAGGCCCCACAUAAUUUCUUAUCCUCCAUCACCACGAAAAUUAUAGAGGACAGAAUCCGGGACAACUGUUGGCAGGCUCCGGGUGUUCUUUGUUACAGCUCGAGUGCAUCUGAAGGCCUAAUAAUUAAACCUGGAUUUAUUGUGAGUUUGUUUUGCUGCUUUCAUUGAAGAGAACUUUCUGUUGGCUACCUCUGUUUCUUUUGGGGUGUGGCGAGAACACACUCCUACUUUUAAUUUUUACCGACUACUACUUCACCAGCAACGCUGACUGACGCUUGAGAACACCUCUUACAGUUACUACAGAACAAUAAGGCUGGGGGAGGGGCGCAUGUGAAGAUGCCAGGGUGUCUGAAGCGGUAGCUAAGUGGCAACACCUGAUGUUAUUUCUCUACUUUGUGUGUGCUUGUAAUUAUUGUUAGGGAAAUGUUUAUAAACAUUAAGUGCCCAGUCAACCGCGAGUGGUGGCAGCCAUGUAAUCCUCAGUUCUUGGCAAGUGGAGAAAGGAAGAUAAAUUAGUUCUACACCAGCCUGGUCUACAAGAGAGACGCCUUUAAAAAUUUAAUUAACAUUUUUAAAGCAUGAAUAUAGUGAAGAAUCGUUGACUCUCCAAUGAAUGAACAUGCAAAAUCGUGGUUCAAGGCAUUAACACUCGUCAUGAUCCGGUCUGAAUUUCGUGAAGAGAAACUUCUUUAGGGUUCUUCAAUUUUCCUUAAAAAUCUUGGGAAUAAUAUGGCGCUGGUGGAGUUGUUUCAAAAGGUCAUUCCUUCGAGCCGGAUUCGAACCAGCGACCUAAGGAUUACCAUGACUAACCUACAGUCCUCCGCUCUACCAACUGAGCUAUCGAAGGAAGACAAUAGUGCUUUCUUUAAGGCUUAUAAAGUAGCUGGUGGAUUUGUUGCACUGCCUUUGAUUCAUUUUAAAAUGGACGAUAUGGAAAUGUUUUUGAGGUACUAGAAUAUUUUAAAAGUAAAUUAGCUAGUGACCACACAACAGGUAUUUAAGAACAUGUUUGAGAUGUGUGCUUUUCAAUGUAUACGUAGUUCACAUAGAUUCCCCCUCCCCCCCGCCCCAAAAUGCUCCUAGAAACGUUCAUGCACUGAAUCCUUACAGACCAGAUCAUCCAAACCCUUUGAUGCACGUUCCCCGCUGAACUCUCCAGUCUCCUUAGCAGCUCCUUUCUCUAUUUAAACUGAAAGAAAAUGACAAUGAUAGCAUAGACCCCUGAAGCACAACUGUUGCCCAUUUCACCAGAGAAGCGCGUGAUUCUCCUUUCUGGACAAGGAAAACACAAAUGCAUGAGAUGCCUCUAACGUGGAUCUAGAAAAGGAGUGAAACAUGCUAUUCUGCACAAUUGUAGUGGAGCAAAUAAACGAAGCAUUAUGCAUACAUCUCAAAAAGUAAUUUUAACCAUUCCAUUUUAAGUAUGCUGUCAUGCUUGGCUAACAAGAACCUAUGGUGACAUUCAGCAUCCUGAUCCUAAGAAAAAUGAGCGCCAUUGGGAAAAACAAGCCAUCCAGGGAUAUUUUAUGGAAUAUAUGAACUAUUAAAGGUUUGGAUAUUAUAAAUUAUGACAUGUAUGAAAAAUUUUCUUUUAUGUUUAUCUCUAAAAGACCAUCACAUUAGUAUUAUGGAUUUAAACUGAAUGUAAUUUAUAGGAAUAAACUUGACUCUCCUACAAAUCUGAACUAGAGUCCUUAAGGUCAUUAAUAAAUAUUGGUGGUUUUAUAUUGUCUUUUGAUAAUGGGAAUCUGAAGCUCACCAAAAGGCUCUUCCUUCGAGCCGGAUUCGAACCAGCGACCUAAGGAUACCCAGGAAAUUCACCUACAGUCCUCCGCUCUACCAACUGAGCUAUCGAAGGGAGAUAACAACAUGCCGAUGAUUUAUGAAAUAACUGGUUGUUUUAUACUACUUUCUGACUAAUUUUAAAAAGCAGACAACCAACCAACCAGAAAAGUCUUUUAAGGUAUUAGAAUAUUGCUUUCAUUGGACUUGUCCUACUGUCCUGUCCUGUUUCUUUAGGACCUUCCUCCCUCUGUUAAAAGUGAGAGAAAAUAACAUUAUCGGAGACAAUACAAUCCUGAAGCAGAACUAUUGCCCAGUUGAGAGAAAUGCAUGAUUUUUUCUGAAGACUAAGGGAAGAAAGGUGAAUGCAACGACAUCAGACACAAAAUUUGAUAGGCUUUUCAUAUGUGUUUUAGUUUGGCGUCUGUCACUGAGUUAAAAUACUACGGCCAAAAGCAACUUGGGGAGGAAAGAGUUUAAGUUACGCAUCUUGAUCACAGUGUAUUAUAAGGGAAACCUGGGCAGAAACUCAAGCAAGCAGGCACUUGGCAGCAGAAAAUGAAGAAGCCCCAGAACUUUGUGAAGACAAACCUAUUUGGAGCUGGCGGAAGAGAAGAAUAUUUGUUCCAGAAGGAAUUUCCUGAGGAAUUACCCCAGUUUCUGAAGAAACCGUCCAGACUUUUCUCAUGAGGCUCCUCUGCUCGUCCACUGACGCUGCCACAUCUUCACAGUUGCUGGGAUUCCAGCUUGGAUCUCUACAACCAUCGCCUGUCAUUUUGAGAGACUCCUUCAAUUGUCUUCGCUCGCGGUGGGGAGGAGGAAAGGAACACGAACCCGGUCCCUCUUUCAUUCCCUCACUCAGACCUUUACCCUCCCUGGUGAGAAGAUUGCACAUCUUAGGUGUGCACAGAAUGGUCAGAGGUGGGCGUAGUGUGUUGGGGACACACUGUGCAAACGGAUCUGAACUGCUGGCUUUAUCUGGGAAAUGGUACCUGACGUUUUGCUUUUGGGUAUGCUUGGCAUGGCCUCAUAAAAUUCUUUUUUUUUUUUUCUUUUGUAAAGACUGAUAAUGUCGAAUAUGGAAUUCUAUCUACACUUCCAGUGGCGUCUAAAGAGAAGAGUCAGUAGGUGGGACGGGUCAUAUCAUCCUAGGUUUUGUCUGAAAGAGCCUUAUAUGUAUAUUCCCAUCAAAACACUUAUCCUUCGAGCCGGAUUCGAACCAGCGACCUAAGGAUAUCUCAAAGAUGAGAAACUCCACUACAGUCCUCCGCUCUACCAACUGAGCUAUCGAAGGAGUUGCUAAAGAGCCUACUUAGUAAUUUUAUAUGAUCUCUGUUGUGUUAUGUUGACGGUAUAAAUAACUUUUUAAAGCAAUCUCUUUAGACAUCAGACAUACUAGCCUGCCUGUCCUGUCUGAUCUGUCCUGUCCUUUUUCUCUGAUGUUUGUCGAGGUUUGCUAAAUAUAUGAUACGGUUGCAUUAAGUUUGAAACUGAGGAAAAUAGUUGUGGGUUGUGGACAGCAUGACUUUUGGUCAUCUUGGUAGGUUGGCAUUUCUUCCUGAAAGUCAGGAAGUGGCACCAUUUAACAACUGUCAAAACUUCAGUGUGAAUUGUAAAAUAUUUCUCAUUUUCGAGUACCCUUGGAACCUGAGAGUUUGGAAAGUAUUACAACACCCAAUCUAGUAUUACAGGCAGCCCAAACUUUGUUCGUGCUAAAGACCUCAUACCAUGAGUGUAGUCAUGCCAGCAGGUGGAUCUGUGCCUUUGGAAUGGUCUAACCUUCUGAUCCUGUUCCAUGCCUGACUUAUCAUCAUUUAAAGGAUAAAUAUUGGCCAGACUGGGCAGACUCUGUCCAGUAAGGAGAAAGAAUUCUCGACAGUGGUGAGCACCAGGUCAAGUCUAUGAGAGGAAUAAUAAUUCAGCAAGAUAGGAAUACAAUUUUAGCAUCUGAGAUUUAAAAUCUCUUAUGUGGUGGGAGCUUCUUCCCACAGAAAGUCAUUCUUUUUUGUCAACCCUGACUGUAAUGAAUAAGCAAAAGUU